CUGCUUCGGCUCAGAAAUCCUUCCCCCGCGAGAACGGUUCUCUCAUCCACUCCCCCAGCUCGUGUCGCUGUCGGCCUGACACUCUGACAGCCCCAUGCGUCUCCAUCACUCCGGAAGUGCGUGGCUCCAUCACAGCGGCACCGAGUGGCAAAUAUUCUCCACUGGGUUUUGAGUUUUUGUACGCGUUCUGGUUCGGCUCAGAAAUCCUUCCCCCGCGAGAAUCGUUCUCUCAUCCACUCCCCCAGCUCGUGUCGCCGCCGGCCUGACCCUCUGACAGCCCCAUGCGUCUCCAUCACUCCGGAAGUGCGUGACUCCAUCACGGCGGCACCGAGUGGCAAAUAUUCUCCAUUGGGUUUUGAGUUUUUGUACGGGUUGUUCAACUUCACCAUUUCCGCACGAUUCAGUCCUCCACUGGUUUGCUGCUGCCGAGAGCCACCGUAGGUCGUCUUGCAAGGAUAUUGAAUAAAUUGCGUGAUGGGCGAAGAGGAAGAUGGAAGGCCACCCAGACCUUCUACAUCGAUUUCAGGAACCCAGGGAUAUUAUGGAAAUGUAAAUCCAUAUAACCUGCCAUAUAUGCUGCCUCCAAAUCCAUAUCCAUAUCCAUAUCCACAUCCAAAUCCGUACGCUUGGGGUAGUCAGCAUCUGCCACUGCCACCAUUUGGAACAACCAUGUCAUCCCCUCUGUCGAGUAAUCCAGAGGAGUUGAGACGAUGUGAAGAUACAACCCAGAAAUCGACGAUGCCACCAUGUGUGCCAACUAUGCCCUACCCACAUUGCCCUAGUGAAUCAUCAACUAUGCCAUCAUCCUCUGUAGCUGAAAAGAAUUUAGGAGGAACAUAUACACAUCCAUAUGCUUGGCCUAGCCAGCAUCUGGCACCGCCAUCCCCUUUGUCGAGUGAGCCUCCAGAGUUGAGACGGGGUGAAGAUACAACUUAGCAUUCGGCGAUGCCACCACGUGUGCCAACUAUGCCAUCCAAUUCUAUACCCGAUCAGAAUUUAGAAGAAACUUCAUCCGACAUAAAUAUAGAGCCAGAUGCGGAGGGGAUGAAUGAAGUAUCAGAUGAUGAUAAUUGAGUUGAGCCUCCAAACGCUGGUAUGCACUUUGCUACUGAUAAAGAGGUUUUAGACUAUUACAAACGAUACGCCAAACAAGAGGGUUUUGGUGUUAUCAUAAGAAGAACGAAGAGAGAUCUGGAUGGGAGUGCGAAGUAUGUGAUAAUUGGCUGUGCACGUGGUGGCAAGUAUUAUCCUAACCACAGUAAUUUGUCAAAGCCAAGGCCAACGACAAAAACUGAUUGUAAGGCGAAGAUAAAUGCUCGGUUUGUGAAUGGGGUAUGGGUGUUGACCAGUGUUGAUCUUGUUCACAAUCACAGUACGGUUAGCCCACAAAAAUCUAGAUUUUUUAGAUCUCACAAACAUUUGGAUGAAUAUAGUCAGAGAAUGCUCGAUUUGAAUGACAGAGCGGGUAUUCGGAUGAAUAAAAAUUUCCAGGCACUUGUGACUGAUGCUGGGGGGUUUGAGAAUUUAGCUUUCCAAGAGAAAGACUGUAGGAAUUUUAUUGACAAAGCUAGAUACUUGAGAAUGAGUAAAGGAGGCGGUGAAGCACUAAACGACUACUUUAAGAGAAUGAGGAAAAUGAACGAUGACUUUGUUUCCGUCAUGGAUGUGGAUGAUGAGUUUAGAGUUAGAAAUGUGUUUUGGGCUGACGCACGAAGUCGGGCCGCAUAUGAGUACUUUGGAGAUGUCAUCACGUUCGAUACUACGUACCUAACAAAUAGGUACGGGAUGCCGUUUGCUCCCUUUAUUGGAGUAAACCACCAUGGACAAUCCAUUCUCUUAGGGCAGGCUUGAUAUCAAGCGAGGACACAAAUACUUUUGUCUGGUUGUUUGAAGCAUGGUUAGAAUGCAUGAAUGGACGGGCACCCGCAGCGAUCAUAACAGACCAAGACAGGGCAAUGAAGAAUGCGAUUGAGAUUGUAUUCCCGAAUGCAAGACAUCGAUAUUGUCUCUGGCAUAUAAUGCGGAAACUGCCGGAGAAAUUGGAAUCUCACUCAGCAUAUAACGUAGGACUGAAGACUGCAAUUAUGAGUGCAGUCUAUGAUACACAAAAUGCCGAACAAUUUGAGGAGAAAUGGGGGCAGUUAAUUCAUAACUAUGACCUUAUUGACAAUUCAUGGUUGCAGGGGUUGUACGCUGAGAGGUCAUUUUGGGUACCAGUUUACUUGAAAGGUGUAUUCUGGGCUGGUAUGAGCACUACCCAACGGUCUGAAAGCAUGAACGCCUUCUUCGACGGUUAUGUGCAUUCCGGUACGACAUUGAAAGAAUUUGUCGAUCAAUUUGACAAUGCUUUGAGGAAGAAGGUGGAGGCGGAGACGACAGCUGAUUUCCAGUCCUGUAACCAAACAAUCCCAUGUGUAUCCCUAUUCAAGAUUGAGAGGCAGUUUCAGUCAUUAUACACGAAUGCAAAAUUUAAAGAGGUCCAAGCAGAGGUUUGGGGGAUGCUUUUAUGUAACCCUUCACUUGUGGGCACUGAAGGUAGCAUUUCCACCUUCGAUGUUUUAGAAGAAAUCUCUACACCUGAUGGACAGUCCAAAAUUGUUAAGUACAUUGUUUACUUUAAUGAAGACGAAUGCGAAAUUCAAUGCACGUGUGCCUUGUUUGAGAUGAGGGGAAUUCUCUGUAGGCAUGCAUUUAAGGUCUGUCAGAUGAAGUACAUACAUGUGCUGCUAGAGAAAUAUGUGUUGGAUCGAUGGAGGAAAGACUUAAAGAGAAGAUAGACACUGGUUAAGAGUAGUUAUGAUGAUGCACGGGUCAAUGCGGAUGCACGACGCUCUGAGCUUGUCGUACAAAGAUGUCUAAGAUUUGCCACGCGUGUAUCUCGAAAUGAUGAAGAUGUCAAUGCAUUCUUUCAUAUGUUGGACGACUUUGAGCAUAAGUAUGUACGAUUAGAGCCUGAGUCCGGUUCUUCAAAGUUAAAACAGAACGUGGUCGCCGUUGCCGAGAAGGAUAAGAAAAUACUGAGCCCGCACGUUGUCAGGGGGAAAGGGAGACCACCAACACGAAGAAAGGUCCCAAUGGUCGAGAAGGCUACAAGGAAGAGAAAAAAAAAACAGAAAUCUAUUUGAUGAUACAUCACACAAUGUUGACCUCCCGGUGUCAGAAGUUGAUGCUACUGUUGAGGAAGUUGUUAUCCAAACCCAGUGUAGUACUCUAACACAAGCUUGCCCGGCCAAUGAUGAGGCUACGCCAAGCUUGCCCGAUGGAACUUAGCAUAGAUAUUGUCCCUGAGUCUUGUAUAUAUAUUUUGGAGAUCUCAGGCUUUUGUGAAGUGUGGUGGAAGAUAGAGUAGAAGCUUGGGCAUUUUUGUAUGUGCACGUGGGUGGAAGGACUCUGAACAAUUUUUGUGCUAGUAUUAGUUCUACUCAAAUAUAUUGGGAUGCCCGAGCAGGGGUUGAACAGCUACUCCAUGGGACGACAGAGUAGAAUGUUUUUGGUUGAAGUGGAAACAGUUUUUUGCCUUGUUCAGAAGAAGUAUUCUGAUUUCAUGGUUGGGGAUUCCAAAAAAAACUGUAUGCUGUUUCAUUACGUUCUCGUACAGUGAAGAGUUAAUGUUCACUUCUUGGGCAUUUAACGAUGGACAGUGGCGAGCUCUUCAGAAAUCUCCUUCGGUCUACGACAAGGAAGUUUUCAAGGUAGUAUCAGCUUUUUCCAGGCUGCAAAUUUAGCGGGUAGUUUUCACCUUCUUCUUAAAGCAGCAGUGCCUGAUUGUUGCCUUGAGAGAUUGAGCAAAGAUUUUAUUUCCUUAAAUGUUGUUGCUGAUCAGCCUGAAUUCAUAUAGACAUUUUUGCUUCAUUGGUUAUAGAAUGAAUCAAUGUCAUCAUAAAAGGCCCUGGAUUUUGUGGUGAGUGAAGCAAAGAAAUACAAGAUCAGGCUCAUAUUGUCAUUAAGUAACAACUGGGAUGCAUAUGGUGGCAAAGGACAGUAUGUGAAAUGGGGAAAAGCUGCUGGCCUGAAUUUAACAUGAGACGAUGACUUCUUCUCCAAUCCUACUCUCCGGGGCUACUACAGGGCGCAUG